UUAGUGGAAGCGUCUGGAAAGGCGCGCGAUACAGGGUGACAGCCCCGUACACAAAAGCGCAUGUGCUGUGAGCUCGAUGAGUAGGGCGGGACACGUGGUAUCCUGUCUGAAUAUGGGGGGACCAUCCUCCAAGGCUAAAUACUCCUGACUGACCGAUAGUGAACCAGUACCGUGAGGGAAAGGCGAAAAGAACCCCGGCGAGGGGAGUGAAAAAGAACCUGAAACCGUGUACGUACAAGCAGUGGGAGCACCCUUUGGGGUGUGACUGCGUACCUUUUGUAUAAUGGGUCAGCGACUUAUAUUCUGUAGCAAGGUUAACCGAAUAGGGGAGCCGGAGGGAAACCGAGUCUUAAUUGGGCGUUAAGUUGCAGGGUAUAGACCCGAAACCCGGUGAUCUAGCCAUGGGCAGGUUGAAGGUUGGGUAACACUAACUGGAGGACCGAACCGACUAAUGUUGAAAAAUUAGCGGAUGACCUGUGGCUGGGGGUGAAAGGCCAAUCAAACCGGGAGAUAGCUGGUUCUCCCCGAAAGCUAUUUAGGUAGCGCCUCGUGAAUUCAUCUCCGGGGGUAGAGCACUGUUUCGGCUAGGGGGCCAUCCCGGCUU
rnacentral:rRNA from 1 species